UUUAUAGAGCGCCAUCAAAUUCUGCAGCGCUUUACAAUGGGUGGACGAACAGACAUGUAGUUGUAACCAGACAAGUUGGACACACAGGAACAGAGGGGUUGAGGGCCCUGCUCAAUGAGCCUACAUGCUAGAGGGAGUGGGGUAAAAUGACACAAAAAGGUAAGGAUAGUAUUAGACUAGUGACAGUUGCAGAAGAGGAAUCAGUCAGGAGUUAUUAACAGUUUAAUUGAUACGCUUUUAUGAAGAAGU